GAUGAACGCUGGCGGCGUGCCUAAUACAUGCAAGUCGAGCGAACAGACGAGGAGCUUGCUCCUCUGACGUUAGCGGCGGACGGGUGAGUAACACGUGGAUAACCUACCUAUAAGACUGGGAUAACUUCGGGAAACCGGAGCUAAUACCGUAUAAUAUAUUGAACCGCAUGGUUCAAUAAUGAAAUACGGUUUUGCUGUCACUUAUAGAUGGAUCCGCGCCUCAUUAGCUAGUUGGUAAGGUAACGGCUUACCAAGGCAACGAUGCGUAGCCGACCUGAGAGGGUGAUCGGCCAAACUGGAACUGAGACACGGUCCAGAUUCCUACGGGAGGAAGAAGUAGGGAAUCUUCCGAAAUGGGCGAAAGCCUGACGGAGCACCGCCGCGUGAGUGAUGAAGGUUUUCGGAUCGUAAAACUCUGUUAUUAGGGAAGAACAAAUGUGUAAGUAAAUAUGCACGUCUUGACGGUACCUAAUCAGAAAGCCACGGCUAACUACGUG
rnacentral:rRNA from 1 species